GACGAACGCUGGCGGCGUGCCUAAUACAUGCAAGUCGAACGCUCAAGAGAGGAGCUUGCUCUUCUUGGAUGAGUUGCGAACGGGUGAGUAACGCGUAGGUAACCUGCCUUUUAGCGGGGGAUAACUAUUGGAAACGAUAGCUAAUACCGCAUAAUAAUGUAUGACCCAUGUCAUUUAUUUGAAAGAGGCAAAUGCUCCACUACAAGAUGGACCUGCGUUGUAUUAGCUAGUAUGUGAGGUAACGGCCUAACUAGGCGAAGAUACAUAGCCGACCUGGGAGGGUGGACGGCCAACCUUGGACCUGAGAACCGGCCCAACUCCCAAGGGAGGCAACAGUAAGGGAACUUCGGGAAAGGGGGGAAACCUUAACGGACAAAGCCGGGGGGAGGAAGGAGGGUUUUGGGUCGUAAAGCCUUGGUGUAAGGCGAGGACGAGUGUUGGAGGUGACUGUGCACGCCGUGACGGUAGCUUACCAGAAAGCGACGGCUAACUACGUG
rnacentral:rRNA from 1 species